CUACAGAUUAAAACACUCUGUUAAAACCGUUAAAAUUCUCUGGGAAUUCGAAAAAGCCAAAAACAGAUAUAUCCAGAACGAUAAUAUACACAGUACAAGGUAUUAAAAGUGAUUUGAAUCAUCGUGAUAUUGACCGUUAAACGACCCGUAGUAUGUCCAAAUGUUCAGAAGAUGUUCUGAGUUGUUUUCAGAGAGAAUUAAUCAAUAUUUUUAUCAAACAGGUCUGCAGUGAAACAGUUUUUAUUAUGUAAAGAGCCUUAAGAUAUAUUUGUUGUGUAGGGUCGCGUCAAACUUGCAGAGACUUAUUUAAGAAAUAGAAAGUACUUACCUUGUCCUGUAUUUUU